rnacentral:rRNA from 1 species
UACGAAGGGGGCUAGCGUUGUUCGGAAUUACUGGGCGUAAAGCGCGCGCAGGCGGCUAUCCAAGUCAGUGGUGAAAGCCCGGAGCUCAACUCCGGAACUGCCAUUGAAACUGUUUAGCUUGAGGAUGAGAGAGGUGAGUGGAAUUCCCAGUGUAGAGGUGAAAUUCGUAGAUAUUGGGAAGAACACCGGUGGCGAAGGCGACUCACUGGCCCGAUACUGACGCUGAGGCGCGACAGCGUGGGGAGCAAACAGG